rnacentral:rRNA from 1 species
UACGGGGGGAGCAAGCGUUGUUCGGAUUUACUGGGCGUAAAGGGCGCGUAGGCGGCGCAACAAGUCACUUGUGAAAUCUCCGGGCUUAACCCGGAGCGGCCAAGUGAUACUGUCGUGCUAGAGUGCGGAAGGGGCUACUGGAAUUCUCGGUGUAGCGGUGAAAUGCGUAGAUAUCAGGAGGAACACCGGUGGUGUAGACGGCUUUCUGGACCGUAACUGACGCUGAGACACGAAAGCGUGGGUAGCAAACAGG